AAGACUAUAGACCUGCGGAGUACCUGCGGAGGGAUCAUUACAGAGUUUACAACUCCCAAACCCACUGUGAACCUUACAGCGUCGUUGCCUCGGCGGACCGCCCCCGGCGCGGCCCCCCUCGGGGGGGCGCCCGGGACCACGGCGCCCGCCGGAGGACCCAAACUCUUGUAUUUGCAGGAUGCAUUGCUCUGAGUGAAAACAAGCAAAUGAAUCAAAACUUUCAACAAUGGAUCUCUAGAU
rnacentral:misc_RNA from 1 species